UGGGGAAUUUUGCACAAUGGGGGGAACCUUGAUGCAGCGACGCCGCGUGAGGGAUGGAGGCCUUCGGGUUGUGAACCUCUUUCGCUCGUGUGCAAGCCGCUAUUUGGGUAGUGGUGAGUGUAGCGGGUAAAGAAGCGCCGGCUAACUACGUGCCAGCAGCCGCGGUAAUACGUAGGGCGCGAGCGUUGUCCGGAUUUAUUGGGCGUAUAGGGCUUGUAGGCGGUUUGUCGCGCCUGUCGUGUAAUCCUCUGGCUUAACUGGGGGUGUGCGGUGGGUACGGGCAGGCUUGAGUGCGGUAGGGGAGAUUGGAAUUCCUGGUGUAGCGGUGGAAUGCGCAGAUAUCAGGAGGAACACCGGUGGCGAAGGCGGGUCUCUGGGCCGUUACUGACGCUGAGGAGCGAAAGCGUGGGGAGCGAACAGG
rnacentral:rRNA from 1 species